UGAAGUUAAAGGCUGUGGNUUAACCAUAGUACGCUUUGGAAACUGUUUAACUNGAGUGCAGAAGGGGAGAGUGGAAUUCCAUGUGUAGCGGUGAAAGGCGUAGAUAUAUGGAGGAACACCGGUGGCGAAAGCGGCUCUCUGGUCUGUAACUGACGCUGAGGCUCGAAAGCGUGGGGAGCGAACAGGAUUAGAUACCCUGGUAGUCCACGCCGUAAACGAUGAGUGCUAGGUGUUAGGCCCUUUCCGGGGCUUAGUGCCGCAGCUAACGCAUUAAGCACUCCGCCUGGGGAGUACGACCGCAAGGUUGAAACUCAAAGGAAUUGACGGGGGCCCGCACAAGCGGUGGAGCAUGUGGUUUAAUUCGAAGCAACGCGAAGAACCUUACCAGGUCUUGACAUCCCGAUGCCCGCUCUAGAGAUAGAGUUUUACUUCGGUACAUCGGUGACAGGUGGUGCAUGGUUGUCGUCAGCUCGUGUCGUGAGAUGUUGGGUUAAGUCCCGCAACGAGCGCAACCCUUAUUGUUAGUUGCCAUCAUUCAGUUGGGCACUCUAGCGAGACUGCCGGUAAUAAACCGGAGGAAGGUGGGGAUGACGUCAAAUCAUCAUGCCCCUUAUGACCUGGGCUACACACGUGCUACAAUGGCUGGUACAACGAGUCGCAAGUCGGUGACGGCAAGCUAAUCUCUUAAAGCCAGUCUCAGUUCGGAUUGUAGGCUGCAACUCGCCUACAUGAAGUCGGAAUCGCUAGUAAUCGCGGAUCAGCACGCCGCGGUGAAUACGUUCCCGGGCCUUGUACACACCGCCCGUCACACCACGAGAGUUUGUAACACCCGAAGUCGGUGAGGUAACCUUUUAGGAGCC
rnacentral:rRNA from 1 species